rnacentral:rRNA from 1 species
AGUGAACGCUGGCGGUAGGCCUAACACAUGCAAGUCGAACGGCAGCACAGGAGAGCUUGCUCUCUGGGUGGCGAGUGGCGGACGGGUGAGGAAUACAUCGGAAUCUACUCUGUCGUGGGGGAUAACGUAGGGAAACUUACGCUAAUACCGCAUACGACCUACGGGUGAAAGCAGGGGACCUUCGGGCCUUGCGCGAUUGAAUGAGCCGAUGUCGGAUUAGCUAGUUGGCGGGGUAAAGGCCCACCAAGGCGACGAUCCGUAGCUGGUCUGAGAGGAUGAUCGGCCCCACUGGAACUGAGACACGGUCCAGACUCAUACGGGAGGCAGCAGUGGGGAAUAUUGGACAAUGGGCGCAAGCCUGAUCCAGCCAUACCGCGUGGGUGAAGAAGGCCUUCGGGUUGUAAAGCCCUUUUGUUGGGAAAGAAAUCCAGCUGGCUAAUACCCGGUUGGGAUGACGGUACCCAAAGAAUAAGCACCGGCUAACUUCGUGCCAGCCGCCGCAGUAA